rnacentral:rRNA from 1 species
UACGUAGGGUGCGAGCGUUGUCCGGAAUUAUUGGGCGUAAAGGGCUCGUAGGCGGUCUGUCGCGUCGGGAGUGAAAACUCAGGGCUUAACCCUGAGCCUGCUUCCGAUACGGGCAGACUAGAGGUAUGCAGGGGAGAACGGAAUUCCUGGUGUAGCGGUGGAAUGCGCAGAUAUCAGGAGGAACACCGGUGGCGAAGGCGGUUCUCUGGGCCGAUACUGACGCUGAGGAGCGAAAGCGUGGGGAGCGAACAGG